GGGGGAGCGCGAGCUGCCGGCGCUAGUGCCCGACUCCGAUAGGCAACGACGACCACGGCGCCGCGGUGCGCGAACUAGAGCAAGCUCUCUCGCGCGCGACGUCACCAGCGCUAGUUUUCUCCAUCAGCGCUCCGCCGGCGGGCAGCCAUGUGCGUCGAGUUCGUGAUCUUCGUGCGCAACCUGGGAGCCCUGGUCAGGGCCACGGUGGGUGGUCACUCCGUGGAACGGCCACAGCCAACGGACACACCUGAAUUUGGCGGCCACGUGGUUGAGCGAUCGAGUCGUGAGGUGGGCACCAAGGUGAAGGAGUCCUAGACUGGGACGUGGCCGUGGCCGGUGAAGCUGCGGGAACCUUCCUCGUUUCGUGACCACUAUACUACCACCGUUACCACCACUACUACCACCACCUUCCGCUGGUUCCCGGUUCGAGUCCCGUGCGGGUCACCUGACCUUCCUGUCCGGAAAGGGGGGAAACGAAGGUCGUCGCCACCGGGCAGCCCACGACACUGCGGGCGUGAUCGUCGGUUGUAAAACAUGAUGGUUGUUAUAUUUGAUGGUUGUACGAGUAUGCAAAACAUAGAACCCGCGGUAUAGUCACACACACGAACACACACGCACACACACACACACACACACACACACACACACACACACACACACACCUACGUCACACGGCAGAGAUUUAAUACUUGAAAUCAAAAGCGCUGUUUGAAAGAUACAUACAGUCAAACGUUUCCGAAAGCGGUCCGGUAAUUCAGUAUGUUUACGUGUGUCAUUCUCGCAGAAAUGACUCCAGAGUCACGCGGAACAGAUGCGUAUCGAUUUCGCCAAGAGCGGUACCGGAAACGUACGAAAUUAUUCGGCUGCAUGCGGAACCGUUACAGAAGCGGUGUACUUGCACGACCACAUCACAGAAUCAUCGAAGUCUUGAACCACGUGACCACACGCUAGCUGGACGUUCAGGAACAGAAAAUUAACACUGCACAUACUUUCUUGACACCAGGCAAUACAAAAUUCGUACAGGUAAGGUAUGGUGCAACGGCUUGAGACCACGCCUGAAAGAGAUUUUUUUAGUCAGCAAGUAUCGUGCAUUAACGUAGGACGCAAACUCGCGAUUAUGGCCCAAAUACUUUGUUUUUUCACGCCUCACCAGAGGCUCUCACACUGCAAGGAAUUACCGCAUGUACGGUUUCACGGUGCUGGUAGAAAAUGUUACUUCAUGUACUGCACUCAUUGUUACAUCUAUCUUCACAUCGAUCGAAGGAAAACUAAGUAGAAACACAAACCUAGGAUGCAUUAGUAAACCACGUUUCUUCCAUACAAAAGAUGACCACGUAAUAUUACAAGCCGGAGCUUCGCACCGUAGAUGAGACACUAAGACAAAAUAUGUUCAUGUAAUGUUCGUGUAAGUUUCCCUUUCUGGUGCAUUUACACGGUCGUCAUUCGACACCACUUAAUUGUUUAGAGUUGAGAAAAGACCACGUAUACUUCGAAACCCACGAUGUCGCAGUGGUUUGCGAGAGCUUUCGGGACAAAAUUUGUAAGAAAUAAAUUUCCUUUUCGAUCAUAAGGUUUUAUUCUACUAAAUGAAAUGAAUUUCCUGUAUUGAUAAUAAACUUUUAUUCUGCCAAGUGAUUGAACAUUAACUUUGGGAGUUUGCUCCGCAGUUUUCAUGUUUACGCCAUUUCCUAACGCUGAAAACAUGCAAAGAACUCUCGCAAUCGUGUAUUUUAGCAUCGGCCGUGCGAAUGAUGGUAAAUUGCCGGCAUGGGACCAGCAGGAACACUUUUAAACAUAGUGAAAUGGUUAAACACAGAGCACCGGGCAAUAUCAGAAACGCAAUCAAGGCUUAUUUUAUUUUUGUUUGUCCUUUUUUGUAGAGUACAAGUUAACAAAUUAGCAUAACUUGCAUAACUAGCACAAAUGUUGCGAGGCUGUCGCCUCGUAAGAUUAAUGCGACAGCGACUUCGACUUACUUAAUUGAAGUCGCGACGACGGUGGCCUCAAAAGAACCCUCGAAAGCCGUUCGUGUGUCACGGCUUGAAAGGUAAAAAUGGUGUGCGCAAAACCAACUCAACCAGCAAAAAGUUUUAUUGAACGUCACUGCUACCGGCUUCUUCGUUUUCAGCCUAUAGUGAACAGUUUAUAGACAGUCUUUCCCAUCUUUCCUGUCGUUUACGGACACUGCUGUCCUUUCAUCGGCUUGAGCCAUCGGCCAACAUGAUCGCACUGGUGAACGCGACAAUUUUAUUAUUCUUUGGUGCAUUGUUUGUUUGGUGCUGUUAGUGUAAUAAAAAGUGAGUUAUAGGCAUACUGCUAUAUUUUCCCUAGUCCUUGUUUCGCGGUCGUGUUUUGAAGUAUCUUUCCUCGAGUGACAUAAAACGCUGCGCACCUAUUAAUGUAGUGUCUGCACUGGCCGUUAGUCAAGCUGUGUGUUUGAUUACCAACACGAAUAUAUCUCUUAGACACCGUGUUGUACGUGAUAAACAGAGUAUAUUCCAAUAAACCUAACUGGAGAAAACAGUAGGAAGGUCACUUUGAUUGGCGACGUCACUGGUUAUACACCUUCCCAAUGGCGUAUAGUCUAAGCAAAUAACUACCUCUAUUCUCCCAAAAAAUCUCGUACAUUCGUUGCCCACUGCCGUGCGGCGUGGGUUCGUUGACCCCGUAUACAUACACAACACACAAAAGACACAUAGUGAAAGAGAAAAAAAAAACAAGCAUCGUCAUCCUCCCCACUGUCUUGUCGGCGUCACAUAUCUGUCGUGUAUGCCUCCAGUAAGUUCCCGCGGGACUGCGUAGAGCGUCUGCCCCCGCUCACUGUGUAGUUUUGUGUACUUUCGUGGCCUCCCAGUUUCACGCCUCGGUUGUUGUACACGUUGAUAAUCAUCAUCGCGGAAUCGUGAAUACCCUUCCCCCCUUUCUCUCCCGCUCCUUCUCCCUUCGAGCUCAAGUUUGAUGGAACCUUUGUAAAAGAGUGACAAGGCCGCCGCUCAGACGGCAUCCAAAGUAAAACACGUGCACCCACUGCGUAAACAAGCUGUUUACAAACUCCGACUACGUAUACUGUGCACCAGAUGUUGUUCGUCGUGCAUAUAUAUAUCGAGGAACGAAUAAAGGCCCUCUUCUGGUUGUCAA
rnacentral:lncRNA from 1 species